GUGAAGAGAUCAGGCUAGCUGAUCAAUGAUGUAGGACCUAAGCACUGA
rnacentral:snoRNA from 1 species